rnacentral:sRNA from 1 species
UGAACAACACUUUGCUGGGUAGAUUAUAAUUGUGUGGCUUCUCCCAUAGGUGACAUUAAUUACCAAGAAUUUGCUAAAAGACUCUGGGGUGACAUCUACUUCAACCCUAAGACACGAAAGUUCACCAAAAAGGCCCCAACUAGCAGCUCCCAGAGAAGUUUCGUGGAGUUUAUCUUGGAGCCCCUUUAUAAGAUCCUCGCCCAGGUUGUAGGUGACGUGGACACCAGCCUCCCACGGACCCUAGACGAGCUUGGCAUCCACCUGACGAAGGAAGAGCUGAAGCUGAACAUCCGCCCCUUGCUCAGGCUGGUCUGCAAAAAGUUCUUUGGCGAGUUCACAGGCUUUGUGGACAUGUGUGUGCAGCAUAUCCCUUCUCCAAAGGUGGGCGCCAAGCCCAAGAUUGAGCACACCUACACUGGCGGUGUGGACUCCGACCUCGGCGAGGCUAUGAGUGACUGUGACCCUGAUGGCCCCCUGAUGUGCCACACUACUAAGAUGUACAGCACAGAUGAUGGAGUCCAGUUUCACGCCUUUGGCCGGGUGCUGAGUGGCACCAUUCAUGCUGGGCAGCCUGUGAAGGUACUG